rnacentral:rRNA from 1 species
CCACCACCAAAGCAUUUGCUGUACCGCGUUGACGGAGCGAAGCGACGUCAAACCGAUAAAACAGCAGUGUAAAGUGAGCCGCAGGGCGCUUUGCGCGACAGCGCAAAGGCAGGCGGUUUCGCGUAGCGAAAGCGAAUGCUUUGGGGUGGGGUGACUGCGUACCUUUUGUAUAAUGGGUCAGCGACUUAUAUUCUGUAGCAAGGUUAACCGAAUAGGGGAGCCGGAGGGAAACCGAGUCUUAACCGGGCGUUAAGUUGCAGGGUAUAGACCCGAAACCCGGUGAUCUAGCCAUGGGCAGGUUGAAGGUUGGGUAACACUAACUGGAGGACCGAACCGACUAAUGUUGAAAAAUUAGCGGAUGACCUGUGGCUGGGGGUGAAAGGCCAAUCAAACCGGGAGAUAGCUGGUUCUCCCCGAAAGCUAUUUAGGUAGCGCCUCGUGAAUUCAUCUCCGGGGGUAGAGCACUGUUUCGGCUAGGGGGCCAUCCCGGCUUACCAACCCGAUGCAAACUGCGAAUACCGGAGAAUGUUAUCACGGGAGACACACGGCGGGUGCUAACGUCCGUCGUGAAGAGGGAAACAACCCAGACCGCCAGCUAAGGUCCCAAAGUCAUGGUUAAGUGGGAAACGAUGUGGGAAGGCCCAGACAGCCAGGAUGUUGGCUUAGAAGCAGCCAUCAUUUAAAGAAAGCGUAAUAGCUCACUGGUCGAGUCGGCCUGCGCGGAAGAUGUAACGGGGCUAAACCAUGCACCGAAGCUGCGGCAGCGACACUAUGUGUUGUUGGGUAGGGGAGCGUUCUGUAAGCCUGUGAAGGUGUGUCGUGAGGC